GCGCUGGUAGUCUAGCCUGGUUAGGACGUUGCCCUGCCACGGCAAAAGCGCGGGUUCAAAUCCCGCCCAGCGCA
rnacentral:tRNA from 1 species